AGCUCAGUAGGUAGAGCGCCUGCAUAGCAUGCAGGAGGCCCUGGGUCUGAUCCCCAG
rnacentral:tRNA from 1 species